GAUGAACGCUGGCGGCGUGCCUAAUACAUGCAAGUCGAGCGAACAGAUGAGGAGCUUGCUCCUCUGACGUUAGCGGCGGACGGGUGAGUAACACGUGGAUAACCUACCUAUAAGACUGGGAUAACUUCGGGAAACCGGAGCUAAUACCGGAUAAUAUAUUGAACCGCAUGGUUCAAUAGUGAAAGACGGUUUUGCUGUCACUUAUAGAUGGAUCCGCGCCGCAUUAGCUAGUUGGUAAGGUAACGGCUUACCAAGGCAACGAUGAGUAGCCGACCUGAGGGGGUGAUCGCCCACACUGGAACUGAGACACGGUCCAGACUCCUACGGGAGGCACCAGUAGGGAAUCUUCCGCAAUGGGCGAAAGCCUGACGGAGCAACGCCGCUGGGGUGAUGAAGGUCUUCGGAUCUUAAAACUCUGUUAUUAGGGAAGAACAAAUGUGUAAGUAACUAUGCACGUCUUGACGGUACCUAAUCAGAAAGCCACGGCUAACUACGUG
rnacentral:rRNA from 1 species